CCCUUAGAUGUUCUGGGCCGCACACGCGCUACACUGAAGGAGGCAGCGUGUACUCCUGGAUCGAAAGAUUUGGGUAACCCGCGAAUCUCCUUCGUGCUAGGGAUUGAGGUUUGCAAUUAUCCUUCAUGAACGAGGAAUUCCCAGUAAGUGCAAGUCAUAAGCUUGCGCUGACUACGUCCCUGCCCUUUGUACACACCGCCCGUCGCUACUACCGAUUGAAUGAUUUAGUGAGGACUUCGGACUGGGACCGAUGCGGCUUUCGGGCUGCGUCGGUAUUCUGGAAAGAUUUCCAAACUGUNUNAUUUAGNGGAAGUAAAANUCGUANCA
rnacentral:rRNA from 1 species